AUUGUAUAUUUGUAUAUAUUUUUUGCUUCAGCAAAGGCAGCGUGACAUUGAGUUUAGGAAAUCUGAUAAUGAAUAGAGAUAGAGGUAACAAUAUUUUCUAACGUUAAUGUAUUGUAGGACAUUACCAAAGGCUUCAAUUAUGAGUAAAUUCGUAUGACUAUGCUAAGAAAUUUAAGAAAUUAUGCUUUGUUUGGUUAUCUUAUGGAUAUUCAGCAAAUGCAACGUGACAUUGAGUUUAGGAGUAUGCUUUGUUUGCUGUUUUGCUUUGUAAUGUGGUUAUGUUGUUCAAAUCAGAUUCUUGUUUUUGAUGGCUCUAUUGUAAUAAUUGUUGUUUAGCCAUAAGAACAACCAAGAGAUAUAUUGUUCUCUUAUCUAUGUAAUCAAGCAAAUCACAAGCACCAAAUAAUAUGUAGGAAAUUGAUGGUUCAAGUUCAAGCUUCAGUCAACUGUUUGGAAUUGAAGUUUAACAAGGAUCUACCUUCCGCAUUGCGCAAUAAAAGUUAUGUUUGGGAGCUAUCACUAAACAAAUGACUGCAAUAGAAGAAAUAGUUGCAAGUGAGUACAAUUAGCCAGACCCUCAUCUUUGUGACAAGAUCUUGAAGUUGGUCAUUUGUGAAGCGUUCUAGUUUACUAUUAGUUGCAGUUUUAGUUAUUGCUGUCUCAAUAUAUUCUUUUUCUUUCUUUCUUUUUUUUUUU